CAGGCCUAACACAUGCAAGUCGAGGGGUAACGUGAGUGCUUGCACUUGACGACGACCGGCGCACGGGUGCGUAACGCGUAUACAAUCUGCCUUGUACUGGGGGAUAGCCUUUGGAAACGAAGAUUAAUACCCCAUAGUAAUUAAGAGUGGCAUCGCUUUUAAUUUAAAGGUUACGGUACAAGAUGAGUAUGCGUCCUAUUAGUUAGUUGGUAAGGUAACGGCUUACCAAGACGACGAUAGGUAGGGGUCCUGAGAGGGAGAUCCCCCACACUGGUACUGAGACACGGACCAGACUCCUACGGGAGGCAGCAGUGAGGAAUAUUGGACAAUGGGCGAGAGCCUGAUCCAGCCAUGCCGCGUGCAGGAAGACUGCCCUAUGGGUUGUAAACUGCUUUUAUAUAGGAAGAAACACUCCCUCGUGAGGGAGCUUGACGGUACUAUAAGAAUAAGGACCGGCUAACUCCGUGCCAGCAGCCGCGGUAAUACGGAGGGUCCGAGCGUUAUCCGGAAUCAUUGGGUUUAAAGGGUCCGUAGGCGGGAUGUUAAGUCAGUGGUGAAAGUUUGCGGCUCAACCGUAAAAUUGCCAUUGAUACUGACGUUCUUGAAUUAGUAUGAAGUGGUUAGAAUAAGUAGUGUAGCGGUGAAGUGC
rnacentral:rRNA from 1 species